rnacentral:lncRNA from 1 species
CACUAGGAUCCGUUCAUGCAUAUCCACUUUAUGUUGCAGGUUCUCAUUAUGUCACUGCAGGUUCUCAUUAUGUCGCUUCAACUCUUCAUUUUCUUGAACAGUUCGUCGAUGUGCUGCUGAAGUUGACGGCCUCAAUUUCUUUUCUCUAGAUGUUGAGAUAACAUCAGCCUUCUUAAUCGCCCCAUCUGCUAUUGCUAGUCGCCCAUGGGGAAUGCCACCUAAUGAUUCAUAUAAUAUUUGCCCAUCCAACUCUCGCUGCUCCCAAUCAUCAGGAUGUGCGGCUCUAGCCAAAUCAGAGUAAUCAUCCUAGAAAACUAGCAAUAUUAACUUGUAUAGAUGCAUGUAGAACAAGUACUUAGUGAAAAGAAGAUAAGCAAGAACGUACAAAGCAUUUUUUUGCCUUCCCGCUGAGGGUCGUGCUGGUGCUACCACUGCCAUCCCAAUUCUUGAGUCCAGAUUUCAUUGCAGCAUAUGUAUUCAGCGUGGUAGCCUUCUCAGGUCCAUAUUUCUCAGCCUUCAAAACCAUAAAAAUUAAAUUAAUCCUAACCUGUUACAGUUUAUGAAAGAUAACAUACAUGCUUGACGCACCAGAAUUUGUCGAGCCUCCACAAAUGAAAGUGAACCUCCCCGAUUUUGAGCAACAUCUUCACUCUUGAAUCGGGAUUCCUACCCUCUCUUCCUUAAGGACUUGAACGUCUUUGAGCACCAAUAAGCACAAAGAUGAGGCCAUGCAUGUUCCUUAAACCAUGGUAUUCUGCACUCCAAGUAUUGGGCAUAUUCAAGUUCUUUUGAACAUGCCGAUGUGUCAUCAAGCCGCUCUCCUUGUUUCUCAAAGUAGAACUUCACAGCAUCCACACAAAGUUGAUACAUCGUGUCUCUCACUUUUUUCAUUGCGUAGUUGUCCAACACAAGAUCAGCAUCAUCCUCCACCUUGUCUAGAUCUUCAUCAUCUUUCACGUGGAUCUCAAACAAGUUCUACAAGUUUAUAGAUUUUCAUGUCAAAUAUGUAUGUGCAAUACAAAUUUUCAAAUUAACUCCCAAGUACCUGGAACUUACCCAAAAAACAUCCUUCACACGAUCUGCAGCAGCCUGCCCCUUAUCAUCUAGAGUAUCAUUAUCAUAAUAAUCAAACCACUCCAAAGCUGGGCGGGUUUUAAUGACAAUAUCACCUUCCUUCUUCUCAAUUAUCCCUGGGUGUUCUCGUUUAAGAAUGAUUCCAAGUUGCAUAUUAUACUUGUAGUGCUUGGAAUUUGGGUCAGCAUAUUUAAAUUUCCUAAACAACAAGAUAAGCACCAUUAACUAAGACGAUGAUAAUAUGAGUCAAGCAUAAAACUAACCAUGUGUUAAUAAACAACCAUACCUGUCACCUUCUGGCUUGUCCCACUUCCCAUAGUCCUUCAAUUUUAAGUGCAUCGAAGGACGGUUGCAAAUUUCAGCUAGAUCUUUUCUUGCCUUCACAUUAUCUUUAGUUUUAUCGGGAAUGUCAAAGCAUGUGUUAAAUAUAGCUUCAGCUGCAUUUCUUUCAUUGUGCAUCACAUCAAUGUUGUGUCGGAGCUUCAACUUUUUGAAGUAUGGAAGUUGCCAAAAGCAACUUAUGUGAGUCCAAUUGUGCAAUUUAUUGUAAUUGAAGGUGUCAUUCACAUGUGUGUACAUGUGAGUUUCCACUUCCUCUCCUGUUAAACACCUUGGUGGCCCUUCUAACACUAUUGUAUCCUUUCUAAAUGAAUUGGCUUGGAAUCUGAAUUCAUGAUCUGGAGGUAGAAAGUGCCUAUGACAAUCAAACCAGCAAGGCUUCCGCCCGUAUUGAAGAGUAAAUGCUUUGGAAUCACUCAUGCAUUCGGGGCAUGCUAGCUUGCCAUGGGUGCUCCACCCAGCAAACAUACCAAACGCAGGAAAGUCGUGGACUGACCAUAGAAAUGCCGCUUUCAUUGGGAAGUUUACCUUGUGAUAAGCAUCCCAUGUUUCAACCCCGUCCCACAAUUGCAUUAGUUCAUCAGCUAAAGGUUGCAUUAGGACACUCAAAUUUUUUCCAGGAUGUUCAGGACCAGGGAUAACAAGGCUAAGGAAUAUAUACUCUGGUUUCAAGAGAAUACCGGGUGGAAGGUUUAAUGGAGCUAUGAAAGUAGGCCAGCAAGUAUAUGGAGCAGCAUUCAACUUGUAUGGUGUAAAACCAUCACCAGCUAUGACAAGACGGACAUUUCUACGAUCUUCUGCAAAUUCUGAGAACUCCUUGUCAUACCCUUGCCAAGCUUCACCAUCAAUAGGGUGGACCAUCUUAUCAGAAUUGGAACGACUAUGCGACUGCAUAUGUUUUGCUAUUUCCUCAUGUGCAUACAACCUCUAUAAUCUAUCUUUCAGAGGGAGAUAUCUCAACACUUUACGUGGGACUUUAUUCUGGCCUUCCUCGUAGCGAGAUGUACCGCAGAUGUCACACUUCUCUUUAUGCUCAUUAUCUUUAUAGUACAACAUGCAAUUAUUUUUACAGACAUCAAUCUUGACAUAAGGCAUACCAAGGCCUUCUAAGAGUUUCUUAGAUUGGUAGAAGUCCUUGGACAAGUUAGCACCCGGAGGCAUAAGUUCAUGGAUGAUUUGUAACACAUCAUCAUAUUCUGCAAUUGACAUAUUAUACUGAGAUUUUAGUGCUAGCAAACGGGCUACUGCAGAAAGACGUGAGUGUGUUGUGUUCUCAUGGACAAUUUCAUCAGCACUGCUAACCAUCCUAUAGAAAGCCUUGGCAGAGGAGGUUGGUUCUUCAUCAAUUGGUGGAGGACAGUUGCCACCUAGGUCAACUAACAUAUUGUCCAUUCGGUCAAUUUCGUCGUGCCUCACACAAUUUGUGGCAGAGGAAGAUCCAUCUUGGCUAGGAACAUACUUCUCACCAUGUUCUAUCCACGUUUCAUAGUUUUCCCUAAACCCAUAUUUAUACAAGUGUUUCUCUACCUCAUCCCUGCCGCGCUUAUUAUAAUUAUGACACUUAGCACAUGGACACUUGAUUUUACCACAUUCGGCUACACCAGGACAAGAGAAUGCAUGGUCUAGAAAUCGGUUGGUUUGUUCAAGCCAUAAGUUAGAAGGUAUUUGACCAUACUGCCAACCACUAUACAUCCAUGCACAAUCUGCCAUCUAACAAAUUCUGUGUUGAAAGUGGAAUAUAUCAGCUAUUUGAUUAUUUAAUCUCAACACAUCAUACUUAAGAUGAGUUAUUCAGCAGCAGCAAUACAUGUGUAGCAAUUGGAAUCAAAUAGAUGUACACAUAAGAUAAACAUUUAAAGCUGAAAGUUAAAUGCUUACCAAAGGCUUGCUGAAAUAGUGAAAAAGUGUGGAGUCACCAAGCUGGCUAACAAACUCCCAAAGUCCACUAGCAGAUCCAAGAUCUAAGC